rfam:Ixodes scapularis strain Wikel colony gcontig_1108378762090, whole genome shotgun sequence.
AUUUUCGUGCCGGACCGUACCCACAUCCGCAGCAGGUCUCCAAGGUGAACAGCCUCUAGUCGAUGGACCAAUGUAGGUAAGGGAAGUCGGCAAAACGGAUCCGUAACCUUGGGAUAAGGAUUGGCUCUGAGGACUGAGCCGGUCGGGCUGGGGACCUGAAGCAGGAACGGCACUGCACCGGGACUGGGCGGGGCUCGCCGUUCACGCGGCGCGGCCAAGCCCGGACCAGCGUCGGGACCUUCCUGUGGAAAGCCUCAGCUGCGCGGCGUCUGAGGGCUUCGUGCCCAAAGUGCUAUGCUUCGGCCGGCAAAAAACAGUCAACUCAGAACUGGCACGGACCGGGGGAAUCCGACUGUCUAAUUAAAACAAAGCAUUGCGAUGGCCGCUGGUCGGUGUUGACGCAAUGUGAUUUCUGCCCAGUGCUCUGAAUGUCAACGUGAAGAGAUUCAUCAAAGCGCGGGUAAACGGCGGGAGUAACUAUGACUCUCUUGGGGCGCAAGCCCGCGCGGUUGUUGCCGUGCGGGAAGCCAACCACCACGUGCCCGUCGUGCGCCCUGCCAGCUUAAUGCUGCAACGGUGGCUCUGGCGUUUACGGGGAUUGGGGUUGCCAGCCCCCUUCCCUUAAUCUACUUGGCUUUCCUAAGAAAAGUAAAAACGGUCAAAGU